rnacentral:lncRNA from 1 species
GCCUCAAUCCUCUGCCAGGAGAUCCGGCUGCUUUUCUCACACUUUGGCUCCUCACCUCCCCUAAGCUAAUAUGCACUCCCUAGCAAAUUAUAAGCAUUCAGAACUGGAGCAGAGACUGUGGCUUGAGGGUAAAAUUAACUCUACCAGCUGAAUAGUUUCCCCUCUUCAUCAAAAUGUGCAGUUGGAGGCUUUAAAAAAUGUCUAUGUGCAUAAACUUUGUUAUUAGUUGAAAGCGGAAAUAAAUGCUAGAUAAAAAGUUUUCACAUAUGAGAGGCCUGAAACAUUCUAUACUUUUAUGCACCACUUAGUGUGUAGUCAUUUCCUGCUUUGUUCUUUUGUUGCACUAUUUAAAAUGCUUUAUCUCUCAUUUUUUAGUUCAUACAUGUUGGAAAUACUUACUGAAGGUUAUUAUGAACUAUGAUGUUCUUUUAUUGUUGAAGUAUUCCCUACUUUAGAGUUAAUGGGUUUCAUUCAAGGUCCAUGAUCCACCUAAGAUUAAUAGAAAUAAACAUAGUGGUUCAGAGGAUGGAUUUUAGAGGCAAACUAACUUGAAUUUAGAUACUUACACUUUGCUAGCUACGUGACUUUAGGCAAGUCCUUUUGACUUUCUGAAUCUCUGCUUCUUCCCCAGAAAAAAAAAAUAGGGAUAAAAGCAAAAUUGUGUACCUUUUAGGUUUUAUAUAAAAGCAAUAAAAUAUUGCAUGAAGAGAAUUUAGAGCACAGCCAAGUUUAUAAAUACAUUUAAUAAACAUUAGCUAUCAUCAUAAUAAAUAUGGUCUAAAAUCAAAACAGGAGGAGAGAACUAAGAAAAAGAUCAUUUUAAUUGUAUCAAGAAUGAAUAGAAUUGUAAUGCUGGAUAACCUCUAAAAGUUUUUUCUAAAGUAGAUAUUUAUAUGAUUGCAUUCUGAAACAAAGUUCUAACCUCUCUUCUACAUUUUAACCUGUGGUAAUCAUGCUUAAAACUUUAAAUAUGUCUUAAAUUAGCUCAUUUUAGGAGGCAUAAAGAUGAUGACCUAUAAACUAUUGAGUAGGAUUGAAAGUUGUAGAGCAUUCAAAACACUGUAAUGGUUUCCAGUACACCCAUUCCAAAGGUCACAAAUUCCCCAAUCUCUGGCUGUCUUUAAACUAACUUGUACUGAAAGCAACUGAUUCUUAUAAUGACUUGUCACAACUCUCAGUGAGAAACCAUCAAGUGAGAAUUAAAAGAAACAAAUUUCUUGCUGACUAAUUUAUUCAUAGAUAUUUCGAACUUAGAAGGACCAUAUAGAAUUAGAUAAUGUAAUACAACCACCACUUUAUAAAAGGGGGAGUAAAAACCUAAGAAGCUAAUUUGUUUGCCGAAUAUGACAAAGGAAAUACGUAGCAGAAAUAGCUUUAAUACUAGUUUUCUAAGCUAGUUUUCUACCCUUUCCAUAGUAAAACUUACAGUGUAUUAUUUUUAUAAAAUUGACUGUUCCAUAUGAACAGGAAGACAAUGUGGCAUUACAAGAAUAAAAUAAGUGCUAUUAUCUGCUAUUUUGGACAGUUCUUUAUUGUAGCUCUUAUGAUAGUAUGCACCUUUGCAUGUAAACAUACUUCAGCAGCUGGAACCCAGAAGCAAUGCUUCACAUGGAAGCACUUUACAUUUGGUCUCCUUGCUUUAUGUCUCAGUCUGCUUUUAUCAAUCAAAAGACAAAAAUAAUUUAUAAGAGAAAAGACACUGCAUUAACAUCAAAAUGCCGAUUCUUUGGGAAUGAAAUGGAGAAUAUGUAAAUUUUAAAAAUAUUGAACUAAUAAAAAGAGCUAGGCUAAGACACUCAGUAUCAGGAUGAAAAAUGUCAAAUUCAUAAUUUUUUUGUUGGAGAAGAUAUAUUUAUUUGUGGUUAUUUCAUAAUUUCAUUAUUUGUGGUAACUUUGCAUAUAAAUAUCACUUUAAAAAUAGAUAUAUAUAUAUACUUUUGUUGCUUAGUGAAUUUCAAGGAAGAUAUAAUGUAUAUGCACACAACACAAUUGUAAAGAUAAUUCUAGACUUGAAUUUAUUUUUUUCUAUGACAUUAAGGUUGACUUGAGAUUCUUACUGCAUUUGAGCUUUUAAAACAUUUUUUGAUUGCCUUGUUAGUGGUUCAGAACACUCCAGAGAAACACAAGAAUCAGACUCUUUAGAAUUAUAUCUGUUAUUCUAAUUUCUUGCUGUGAGACCUUGAGCAAGUUAACUAAUUCACCUAAACUUCAGUCUUCUCAUUUCUAAAAUGGGAAUUAUAUGGAAUCUACCCUUAGAAUUGUGGAGAUCAAAUAUGACAGGGUAUGAAAAUGGUUCUCCAUCCUAGAACUCAUCACCACCCCAGUCCUCACAUUGGUUGGCAUUUCUCUUGCAUACUACCAAAUACAAUAGCUGAUACUUCAGACAGAAAAUGAGCUUACAGGCUAAAAUAAAGUUCAUAAAAUGGGGGAGGGAAAAAAGAGCACUGACACUGUAUUGAAACAGUGCUUUUAUCUGACUGUUGUAUUAUGGGUAAUUAUUGUUUUCAUUAUAAUUUUCUGGCAUUUUCUAAGUUUUUGGCCAAAAGCACAAUAGGGCUUCUUAAUUUGUAUUAUCAGAAUAAGUGAGGUAACAUCUUUUUAAAAUAAGAUUUAAUUUCAUCAUCUCAAGGAUUCAUAGAAUUCCAUAUUUGCAAGUAAGUUUUUAUCAAAGCUUUAUAAUCCCCUUUAAAAUUUAUUUUGUUUUGCAUGUUUGAAUAUCAUUUUUUAAAAGUCAAAUAGAUGUCAUGAUAUGUUCAGUAGUCCCCCAAACCACUCUCAGGUUCAAUGAUCUAUUAGAAGAACUCACAGAACUCAGGUUUAUUUCAGUGAAAGUGUACAGAUUAAACACAUAGAGUCCAGGAGAGAAGAGGCGCAUGCUUUCAGUUCUCCUCUCCCGGUGGAGUCACAGGGACAAUGCUUAAUUAAUUCAGUAAGUGUGUGACAAUAUGCAAAAAUAUUGACAACCAGGGAAGCUCAAUCUGAUAACUUGGAACUUUGGGGUCUAGAUUUAUUAUUGGUCAUUGCUCAAUAGACCAAUAAUAUAUACUUAUACUGAUACAUACUUACGUCAUUUGAAAAAGCCAUAUACCUAAUAUCAUUGGGGUGUCUAUGUGUGUGUGUGUGUGUGUAUACACACAUGCACUGGUGUAUAACUG